rnacentral:rRNA from 1 species
UACGGGGGGGGCAAGCGUUGUUCGGAAUUACUGGGCGUAAAGGGCUUGUAGGUGGCCAACUAAGUCAGACGUGAAAUCCCUCGGCUUAACCGGGGAACUGCGUCUGAUACUGGAUGGCUGGAGUGUGGGAGAGGGAUGCGGAAUUCCAGGUGUAGCGGUGAAAUGCGUAGAUAUCUGGAGGAACACCGGUGGCGAAGGCGGCAUCCUGGACCAACACUGACGCUGAUGCGCGAAAGCCAGGGGAGCAAACGGG